CCUACGGGUGGCAGCAGUAGGGAAUCUUUCACAAUGGGCGAAAGCCUGAUGGAGCAACGCCGCGUGCAGGAUGAAGGCCUUCGGGUUGUAAACUGCUUUUAUAAGCGAGAAAUAUGAUGGUAACUUAUGAAUAAGGAUCGGCUAACUACGUGCCAGCAGCCGCGGUCAUACGUAGGAUCCGCGCAUUAUCCGGGGUGACUGGGUGUAAAGAGUUGCGUAGGUGGCAUAAUAAGUAGCUAGUGAAAUCUGGUGGCUCAACCAUUCAAACUAUUAGCGAAACUGUUAAGCUCGAGACCGUUAGGGGUAACUGGAAUUUCUAGUGUAGGAGUGAAAUCCGUAGAUAUUAGAAGGAACACCAAUAGCGUAGGCAGGUUGCUGGGACGGUUCUGACACUAAGGCACGAAAGCGUAGGGAGCAAACGGGAUUAGAUACCCCUGUAGUC
rnacentral:rRNA from 1 species